rnacentral:ncRNA from 1 species
GGGUUGGACGGUCAGUCAUGUUCUUGUUUGAUUGUUGGCCGGUGGGUCGACCUAUACUUAGGACGGUUCGGGGGUGUUACAGACAGGCCCGGGUAAUCUUUGAAAUUUCAUCGUGAUGGGGAUAGAUCAUUGCAAUUGUUGGUCUUCAACGAGGAAUUCCUAGUAAGCGCGAGUCAUCAGCUCGCGUUGACUAC